GGUUAUACACUGACACACGAUGAAGCUGUUUCUUGUUAAACACCACAUAUGUUACACUGAGUUACAUAGAAUCAUCAUUGUGUAAAAAAUUAUGCCUUUAUUAAUGGCAAACUGUUAUGCAUGGUAAGUUACGCUUAAUUUUGUUGCAAAAAGCACCAUUAAUCUCACCCUUCACCCUCAGAAAACCAUUUUCGCUCAUCAUCACUGCCACAACCACCACCACCACCAUCAUCAUUAUCGUCGUCAUCCACCCAUUUUCCAUGCCAGCAUGGUUGGACUGGUAAUAAAUGGGUUUAUAAUGACUUGCAGAGUGAGCAACCAGUGAUGUUGGAUGACUCAGUGUCUCCCUGUGGUUAUUACUUCUCAUUUCAGUCAUCUAAUCUAUUUUGACAGUGUUUUCAAUGACAGUAUAUAUAAUAUAUUAAAGAGAUUUUAUGAAAUUAUUGUUUCUACUGUGCUGAAGUCUACUCUAUCCCUUUCAAAUGAUAAGCUUAUAUUAAAAGUGCUCUAUACCACAUGUAUGUGAAACAUAAGCACCAAGGAAGAAAUCUAAUUGCAACUGGAUAGAUAUGAAGUGCGUUUGGUUUAUUAGAUGUGCAUCAGCCUUCUGAGACUAGUUUAAUAAAAACGAGUCGAGGUGAGGUCAAUUCAUUGCAUGAUUGUAUUGAAAGAGAUAUGAAAUGCAAAUAGAUAAUGUACAUUGGAUGGGAAACUACCUUAUGUUGAUAAUGGAAGGUGCAUAUAGUGUAGAUUGAUUAAUUAAGAAUUAGCAUGAGAGAGAGAGUUAGAACAAAUGUUAGUAAGUUAUGUCUCAUUAGAGAUAAUAAUAUGGAUAUUUCUUAGAGAUGUCUAUAUUUAUUUAUUAUGGAAAAUCAAUGUAAACUAAUGAUAAGCUCCUUUUGGAUUUUAGACAGAUAUGGUAAAGUAUCUGUACUUAAGCACUAUCAAAACAUAGUUCUGUUAAUGGCAAUGGCAACAAUAGGUAAUGGAUGAGUGGUUAGCUGUAGGAAUGGCUGUCUGAUUAAAAAGCUUCCUUUGCAAUCAUGUUGUUUCAAGUUCAGUCCCACUGUGUGGCACCUUGGGCAAGUGUCUUCUACUCUAGCCCCAGGACAAUCUAUUCCUUGAGAGUGAAUUUACUAGAUGGAAACUGUGUGGAAGCCUGUCAUGUAUAUGUGUGUCUCUUUGUGUCUGUGUUUGUCAAAGCACCCCCUCUUCCACCACUUGAUAACCACUUUUGAUCUGUAACUUUGCAGUUUAAUGAAAGAAACUGAUAUAAUAAGUAUCCGACUUAAAAUAAGUACUGAAGUGAAUUUGUUCAACUAUAACCUUCAAGGGAGUGUUCCAACAUAGCCACAGUCCAAAACUGAAUCCAGUAAGAGAACAUAAAAGAUAAAUAGUAGUUGAAACCAUUGACAAGCUUCUCAUAGCUUAGAAGGUUUAAGUCAUGAAAGGCUAAUUGGCUGAGUUGGUAGAAUGCCAUGUUUUAUUUAUUCUGAUCCUCUGCACUCUAAGUUCAAGUCCUGCUGAGAUCAACCUUGAAUUUGAUCAUUUUGGCACGCUGGCUGAAUUGUUAGCAUGCCAGGUGAAAUGCUUAGCAGUAUUUCGUCUGUCUUUACAUUCUGAGUUUAAAUUCUGCCAUGGUCACUUUGCCUUUCGUCUGUUUGGGGUUGAGGAAAUAAGUACCAAUUGAGUACUGGGGACAGUGUAAUUGACUUUACUACUGAGUAAGAAUAUAAAAACUGCACCAUUCUGCCAAGCCAUAUCAAGCCAGUAUGGCAGAGUAGGCUCAUCAAACCAGUAUGAUCUCAAGCUCAAUUUCACAUCAGACCAUGGUUGAUGGAGAGAACAUGCUGAGGCCUUUGUCCUGCAGUGGACUGAACAUGGGCAACCCAGUCUAAUCCAAAAAUGCUCCAAUACAGGACAGUAGAGCAGUGAAUUGAUAGAGUAUUAGAUGAUAUGCCUUGUAGUGUCUUUUCUGGUCCUUUGCAGUCCAACAGCAGUGCUUGCAAUGCCACUAGUGCCAAGCUGUGUUGGCCCAAAUCAGUGACAUUUACCUUGGAGAACAUUGGUAGUCUGGAGACGGGAGAUUUGCAUGCAGGGGUGACUGCCAGUCUUCCUCAAUAGACAUUUCUCAGACAAAUGUUCAAUCUUAACUUACAGAUGCCUAGUAUGCCAUUGUCAUCAUCAUUAUCAUUUUAAUGUCUGCUUUUUCAAGCUUGCAUGGAUCAUAUGGAUGCCUUUCCUGUCACCAAUGAUCGCCUGUUUCCAAGUAAGGUAAUAUUUCCCCCAGAAAUAGGGUAGAUUGAAAAUGAAAGUCACUGUUUGCAUGGCAUUGACACUUGUUUAGAACCAUCACAUCAUGUUUAAAACAAGGAGACAGUAACAAACACACACACACGCACAUGUUUUUAUGCUGUGUUUUCAGCUCCGGGUACUUAUACUUAUGGCAAGUUUUUUUUUUAGUUUACAUCUAGGAUAUUUAAAAUAGUUUCUGUCCACCAAAUCCACUCUGAAAACUUCGGUCAGCUUGGGACUAUAAUAGAAAAUACAUACCAAAAGUGUUACACAGGAGUGGCUGUGUGGUAAGUAGCUUGCUUACCAACCACAUGGUUCCGGGUUCAGUCCCACUGCAUGGCACCUUGGGCAAGUAUCUUCUACUAUAGCCUCGGGCCGACCAAAGCCUUGUGAGUGGACUUGGUAGACGGAAACUGAAAGAAGCACAUCAUAUAUAUGUAUAUAUAUAUAUGUGUGUGUGUCUGUGUUUGUCCUCCCACCAUCGCUUGACAACCGAUGCUGCUGUGUUUACGUCCCCUAAACUUAGCGGUUCGGCAAAAGAGAAUGAUAGAAUAAGUACUGGGCUUACAAAGAAUAAGUCCUGGUGUCGAUUUGCUCAACUAAAGGCGGUGCUCCAGCAUGGUCACAGUCAAAUGAUUGAAACAAAUAAAAGAGUAAAAGAGAGUGGAACUGAACCUGAAAUCAUGUGGUUGGAAAGUGGACGUCAUGGAACCACACCUGCACGUGAUGUAUAUUUGGCAUAUACAAAGCAAAAGACUGGUGCUGAUCUCGUAGCAAUAUUACUUUUAGAAUAGCUGCAAAAGAAAUUAUAUUUUUUUGCCAAUCUCUGUCCAUCUCCCCCACUCCUCUCUCUUCAUGUUUAUGUUUUGUGAAGAUUUUUUAAAAAUAUGAUUUUUUCUAUUUUGAAGUAAUAGAUUUAGUCAUAUAUAUAUAUAUAUAUAUAUAUAUAUAUAUAUAUAUAUAUAUAUAUAUAUAUAUAUAUAUAUUUAAAAGAAUUAUGAUUUUUAAAAAUCUAGUUCCAUGCAGUGCAAACUUCGGCAUAAACGUUUCCAGAGACAAUAUUUUUUGUGCUGUGCUUAUAGCUCCUGGCAUUUUUCAGGAAAAAAAAAAAAUGCUUGAAAUAUCAAAUGUCUGUUAGUGCUUGACUACUUCAGUUACAUUGUCAUUCUCAAAUUGUAGACCUAGCUAAAUGCUAAGGAGGAUGUCCUCUUAUGUGAUACAGAACUUUUUCUAUUUUCCUUAAUAUUCAAUAUUGGUUACUUUAUAGAUAAUAAUCUAAAAUGCUUAUUAAUAUAGUUUUCUAUUAUUGUAACGAAACCAUCGGUUUAGAAGUAGUUAAAUAGAAAUGGUAUUAAAAAAUAUGCUUUUGUCCUUUUUUUUUGUUUUUCACAAUUUCCAUUAAAUAUGAAAUCAAUUAGUCAUUUUUUUUUCUUUUUGUACAUCUAGGAUAUUUAGAAUAUUGCCAUUUAAAAUAUGUUGUGAUUUUAAAGAAUGAAUUACUGAGAAUGAUAUAUUUAAUAAUUAACUGAUAUGCAGUGUUCUAAACCCACACAAAUAUUUUUACCAGCAUAAAAUAUCAUCAUCAUCGUUUUAACAUCUACUUUUCCAUACUUGCAUGAGUCGGUGGAGUGUAAUUAAGCACAUUUUCUACAACCGGAUAUCCUUCAUGUUGGCAAUCCUUAUUUCCAAGUAAGACAAUAUUUACCCAUGACCAAAAAUGUUUACACAGAAUAUUGGAAAUGAAUGACAGUCAUUUACUACAAAGAUCUAACUCCAUAGGGAGACAGAAACACAUUUACGCUCACGCAAACACACAUAUCUGUUAAAUAUAAACUCAUGAUCUUUUACUUUGUUUUUAUAAGGAAUUACAUAGCAGAGUGGGUGUGUGAUAAGUAGCUUGCUUACCAACCACAUGGUUCUGGGUUCAGUCCCACUGCGUGGCACCUUGGGCAAGUAUCUUCUGCUAUAGCCUCGGGCCGACCAACGCCGUGUGAGUGGAUUUGGUAGACGGAAACUGAAAGGAGCCCAUCGUAUAUAUGUAUAUAUAUAUGUGUGUGUGUGUGUUUGUGUGUCUGUAUUUGUCCCCCCCCCCACCCAACAUCACUUGACAACCGAUGCUGGUGUGUUUAUGUCCCCAUAACUUAGCGGUUCGGCAAAAGAGACCGAUAGAAUAAGUACCAGGCUUACAAAGAAUAAGUCCUGGGGUCGAUUUGCUCGACUAAAGGCGGUGCUCCAACAUGGCUGCAGUCAAAUGACUGAAACGAGUAAAAGAGAGUAAAAGAGCAGCAAUAUUAUACAAGGUAAGGGCAGCAGGGUGGCAAAAACUGUUAGCAUGCUGGGCAAAAUGCUUCGCAGCAUCUCAUCUGUUAUUAUGUUCAGAGUUCAAAUGCUGCCAAGGUCAAUUUUGCCUUUCAUUCAUUUAUGGUUGAUAAAAUAAGUACCAGUUGAACACUGGGGUCAAUGUAAUUGACUUACCCUCCCCCAAAACUGCUGGCCUUGUGCCAAACUUUGAAACCAAGGUAGAAACAAAAUAGGUAAUUAAAUGAUGAGAUAGAUCACUAACCUAUUAGUCUUGAGUUCAAAACACACUGUAUGUAUUUCAUAGUAUUCUGAACAAUACUUGUCCUACUUUGAACAAUAGGCCUAAAAUGACAGCUAAUUUAACACCUCCAUCUGAGGGUUGGCUAUCGUUUCAUGUGUAACAAUCUCUGAACACAUUUCAUCUAACUACAUUCCUUCCAUAAUAUAACUGUUUAUCAAGGGGUACAGGUGAAGAGGUUUCCCAGUAAACUUACUGCCAAAUAGAGCAAAGGGCCUGAACUGAUGAGAGGUUGCUUUUCAGCUAUCAUAUCAUUGUAUAUAAUCACAUAUCUUUCUUCCUGCUAGUUUGUGCUGGUGCUACAGUGAGUGCUGGAUUUUGUGAGGCUUUCCUGCAAUCACACUGACCUCUAGCUUGAAACACAAUCCCAUAUCCUUUUAUUUUUAACUCGUCUUUACUUAGAUCCAUCUAAGUUAUUUUCUUUAUCUUAGUUUAUUCCUGAUAAAACUAUUUCCAUCUCACAUGCCAUCAACUCUGGUUGUGAUACAUGCAUACAUACAUAUUAUGGAGAUGUAAUUGCAUAGCAAGUGACCUGAUCUGAGAUCAUGUGCUGAAAUGCUGAAAUAAAAACAAUUGCAGCAUGGAAGGUGUUUAUAAGCCAUUUAAAAACACAAAAACUAUUAGAUUCACUUCAACAUUUAAAUUUAAUUUGCCAAAAUAUUUUUAUCACUUUGAGACUGUGACCUGUUCACUGACAAAAUUCCGUGCAGCAUGGAAUUUUGUCAGUGAAUAGGUUGUGGUCUUAAAGCAACGAAAAUAUUUUGGCAAAUUAAAUUUAAAUGUUGAGGUGAUUCUAAAGGUUUUUGUGUGUUUUUAAAUGGCUUAUAAAUACUUUCCAUGCUGCAGUUGUGUAUAUAUAUAUAUAGUCAGUUGAUAAAAAAGCAUACAUCAGAAAGAAGCACACUCUAAAGAUUAGUGCAGUAAUUAUUACAGCGAAAAUUUUAUAUCUUGGACAUAGAGUAGAUGCGAAACCUUGGGUAAUUCUAUGUCCAAGAUAUAAAAUUUUUGUUUGAUAUAUAUAUAUGUGUGUGUGUGUAUGACCGUGUGUAUCAUUGUUGAUUUUCUUUCUCUGUCUUCCCUUCCUUGGACCUUUCCUUUUUCUAUGUUUCUGACGAAGAGCUCUGCUCGAAAUGUUAAAUCUUCCUUUCCUUUCUGAGCAUCUAAUAACACUAUACUUGUUCCACAUCCUCGCGUUGUUGUGUUUUCUCUUGGUGUUUUCAUGCUUGGAUUAACUAUAUAUAUAUGAUGAACUUCCACACAGUUUCUUUUCAUCUGCCAAAUUCACUCACAAGGCAUUGGUUGGCCCAGGGCUAUAGUAGAAGAUACUUGCCCAAUGUGCCACAUAGUGGACUGAACCCAUAAUCAUAUGCUUGCAAAUCAAGGAUCCUAACUACACAGCCAUGCCUCCACCUGUUACAGAUUUUUUUUUUUGUCUUAGAAUACAUGUAAAUUUAUUCAAAGUACUAUGAUGUCGUAAAUGUAUAUCACUAUAGUUGCGUGGGUUGGUGUAUGUGCAUUGGUAUUCACAUAUGGGUAUCUCUACAAGGUUUUGUGUAUAAUUGUCCUUUACAUUUCAUGGAGUUCAUUUUUAUUCUUUAAGCUGCUGUCAUUUAUAUUACAAUGUGGUUUAGAUCACAAGACAAUUAAUGCAACAAAAAAUGAACAAGUCACCUACAGACAGAAAAACAAAUAACCUCAACAUUGUUUUCAAUUAUCAUAUGACUAGGCUGUCAUUUUUAGAUUACAACAAAAGUACUGACAGCGUGAUGAAAAUUUUAAUUUCUUUCUUACACUACAAUCUACAAGUUGAGGGAUUUAUAAAACAAGAAUUUUUGAAUUAAGUAUACUCCUGAAUGACAUUAAAUAUUUUAACUUACUCAACAUGAGUAUGUUAAUUUAACAAUUUCUAAAUUCUUUUCAUCAUCACAAUCAUCAUCAUCAUCAUCAGCUGCUGCAUUAGCAGCAUCAUUUAAUGUUUGUUCUAUGCUGAAAUGUGUUGGGCAGUCUGAUAGGAUUCUGUGGGCCCAAAGACUGCAUUAUGCUCCAGCGUCUGCUUUAGUAUGGUUUCUACAGGUAGAUGCCCUCACUAACACAAACUGCUUUACAGUAUGUUCUGGGUGCUAUUCUUCAUACCAGUUCUAGUGAGGCUGUCAUGCAGUUUGAAGGGAUACAAAUCCAGAGGGGGUCAAAUUUAUGCUUGGAAAUGAUGGGCAAAAGAUGGGUAAAAGUAUGAGAGAAGAGGCUAGAGUUGAACAGGUCUCUUAUUAUUGAGGAGCUGCAUGACUUCUCAUUUUAGAAGAGAGUAUAGGAAUGAUUGAGUGGUGUCAGUGUGAGUGGAGCAGAUGAGUGGAGUGAGUUGAGCAGAUUGAGUGCAGCAAUGAAGUGGGACUGACAGUGCUGAACAGCAUAAUAGUGAUGAAACAGUAGACAAGAAAAUGAUGUGAAUGUGAUGAUGUUAGGUAGAUUGCAGGAGUGGGUAGGGUAGAGAAAAGAGAAACAAACUUAGUGCAUGACGAGGAUGAGAAACAUAUGGUGGUGGAGGAAGUGAUCAGUCAAGUGUGGAUGGGGAGGAGAGAAUACGAAAGUAAAUUAAGCAAUUCAUUGUAUAUUUCCAAACAGAAAAUAUUUUCUAGGAAAUAAUUUUCUUUAAAGAAUUUAUUAAAAACAGUACUUACUUGAAUUGAAAGGUCAUUUGUUCAUAAACCAUUUAUGUAAAAUUAUUUCUUAUUAUGGGAAUAGGUACAGAUAUGGCUGUUGUGGUUAAGAACUCUACUUCACAUCCAAUUAGUCUAAGCUUCAGCCACAUUACAUUGCACCUUGUGCAUAUGUCUUCUACUAGAGAUCAGGCCAAACAAUGCUUUUUGAGUGAAUUUGGUAGACAGAAACUGUACAAAGCUCUGUACUCUUUGUGUGUGUGUGUGUGCAUGAGCAUAUUUGCAUAAAUAUUUGCAUCCUGCACUUUGGAAGUUGAGUGGAAUUAAAAUUGUCUUACUUGAAAAUAGAUAAGGGUUACAACAGGAAGGGCAUUCAGUUGUCAAACAGUACUGCAAUAAUGUGUUCAUACAACCCAUGUACCAUGGAAAAAUGGACAUUAAAAACAAAUGAAUAACUGAAUGUUAAGCUCAUAUUUAUGUUUCUGAAAGAUUGCACAAUACAAAACUCUCCUAUAUAUACUAUAUUUUAAUGUGUAUAAGGAACCUCCUAAUUUUUGUGACUUAAAAUUUGGAAAAAAUGUUUUGUAAGGGAUUAUAGUACUAUCCAUGUUAAGAAAUUCAUAUAUUUUUUAAACCUAAUUUUUGACAAAAAUGGGUUCCUUAUACACAUUAAAAUAUGGUAAUUAUUUGAUCAUUCUGUGAUGUUUCACUCACUAAAUAACUUUAUGACAAGCUUUGAGCGUUCAUGUUAGAUCACAUGGGAUGCCCAUGUGUUGUUCACAAAUCAUUCUGCUAAGCAUGCAAGAUACAUAUUUAUUUGAAAACCAUUUCAAGAAAACUAGUAACAGUUUAAUUAAUUAAACCAAAGUCAAUGCCCUUUCAUACACACUGCCAUGAUGACUGUGGUGAUCUAUUUUUGCUUUACAAAUGAUAGAUCUCAGAACUGCUUCUCUUUCCAAACUGUCAACGGAACUCCUAUAAGCAAGAGAACCGUUUAUAACGUAUUAUUUGAGGACAAGGUUGAUCUUUCCUGAGAGAAAUACAUUCAGUCAGUUCAAAAGAAAAAUAUAGAAGUGUAGUAUUGUCUAGUCAGAGAGAAAAACAAAAACAGCUAACUGAUAAAAUUAUGAGAAUACAAAGAAUAAAAAAAUGAAGAGGAAAACAUUAUGGUAUUUGUAUAGAUUUGAGAAAACUAAUGUGUUUUAAUACUUAUGUUUCUUUCUGUGAAUAUAGCUGGUUUUCUGUUUUAUAUAUUGUUUAGUUUUGUUGUGUGUGUGGGGAACGAGAGAGCCAGUAGAUGUGAACAGAAUUCUGUUAUGAAAUUAAUGUUACAUUCUUUGUAAAGUAUGUUGUCACUUAUACUGCAAGCCAUUGUUGAUUGAUUACUCUCCAGUGCAAUAAAGUUGUUGUACUUUACUUUGAUUGUAUUCUGAAUUGCAAUUGUUUAAAGCUAACUACUACUUGCUAAUACUAAACAGAUAUAAAUUAUAAAACUACAAGAAGAUUCAUUCAAAACUGUAAGACAAGUUAAAGCAUCAGAAUUGAGGUUUACCAUAGACUAGGGUUGUUAUUUCAUAGGAUUAUAAAUUAUAAUUAUUUAUGUAAGAACUGUAAAUAGUUGUAGAGAGUACCACAGUUCAUAAAUUGAACAAACUCCUCUCCUAGGUCAGCUUCAUUAAAGCAUUUGAGCUUUUGUUAUAUUUCAGGAUGAUCAUAUUUUUUCUUACCAAAUAAAUACAUGCAUUAUAUAUUUGUUCUUUACUUGUUUAUCAUUGUUCUUAUUUUUUGUCCAUUGUCUGAAAAUCUUUUGUCACACACCUGUGACCUCUUCAACAACUCUCCAUCCCAUGUGUCUCCUGUUUGAACUUUAGUUAACAUUUGUUACAAAAGUUUAUGAAAAUGGCAUUCAAAAAUCUUAUUAAACUGUGAAAGUAUUUGAAACUUAUUGAUUAAAUCAAAUUUGAGCCAAAUUUCUUUAGCUUGUCUCUUCUACUAUUGCCCAGGGUCAACCAAAAUCUUGUGAGUGGAUAUGAUAGAGAAACUGAAAGAAGCCUAUUGUGUGUGUGUGUGUGUGUUUAUUUCUCUGUCGUGACAUUCUGUGAUAGUUAUAAAUGAGUGUUACUGUGUCACCAUCGUGCAAGGAGUGUCAUUUGUUUCUAAUCUUGCAUGUAAGCAUGUGCGGCUAUGAGAAAAUAUUACCUUACUUGGAAACGCAUAAGUGUUGGUAACAGGAAGGAUAUUUGUCCAAGAAAAUUUGCCUCGAAAAAGUGAGUUGACCCUAAGCAUGCAUAGAUAAGUGGAUGGUAAAAUGAUGAUGAUGAUGAUAUAUGUAUAGUCUUGAUUAAGUAGUUAUCUUGCCUACAUAUAUAUAUAUAUAUAUAUACAUAUAUAUAUAUAUAUAUAUAUAUAUAUAUAUAUAUAUAUAUAUAUAUGCAGCAACACACUUAAAUACUUCUGCUUAGUCAAGGUUAUGUCUAUACCAAGGAGAGGUAAAUAUUAUUGCUGUACAAUGUACAAAAAUACAAACAAAAGCAAUGAAAAUAAUAUUGUUAUAAAAUGGGUUGACACACCAAAGUACCAAUUAAAAUAGGAAAUAAUCUGGUGAAGAGAGGAUCAGUCUGAUCUUUGGCAGACAUGGUGAGAAAUCUAAUAGCUGUGUGUGUGUGUCUGUGUUUGUCCCUCCAUGAUUGCUUGACAAUCAAUGUUGGUGUGUUUACAUCCCCGUAACUUAGCAGUUUGGCAAAAGAAAUGAUAGAAUAAGUCUUGGGGUCGAUUUGUUUGACUAAAAGGCGGUACUCCAGCAUGACCACAGUCAAAUGACUGAAACAACUAAAAGAAUAAAAAAGAAUAUAAUUAUGGUAAGUUUCUUGCUUACCAACCAUAUGGUUCCAAGUUCAGUCCCACUGCGUGGCACCUUGGGCAAGUGUCUUCUAUAGCCUCGGGCCAACCAAAGACUUGUCAGUGGAUUUAGUAGGCAAAAACUGAAAGAAGCCUGCCAUAUAUAUAUAUUUUUGCAUGGUCAUUUCACUUUUUUUUUUCUUGAAAUAAACACAUGCACUUUUAUAUAUUAUUCUGCAGUAGAAGUGUUAAGACCGGUUCCCCCAGUGAUGAGGAUUGACUUGCAAGAGUCCUGUGUUGGUACCACAUAAAGGUGGCUUGCAGUACCCCAUAAAGCACCCAUACAAUGCCACAUAAAAGCUCCCAUGUGGUACCACAUCAAAGCACCCAUGCAGUGCCACAUAAAAGCAUCCAGCACACUCUGUAAAGUGGUUGGUGAUAGGAAUGGCAUCCAGCCAUAGAAACCAUGCCAUUUAAGACUGGAGCCUGGUGCAGCUCCCCAGAUUGCCAGCUCUGGUCAAACCAUCCAACCUAUCCCAGCAUGGACAACGGACAUUAAAUGAUGAUGCUGAUAUAUAAUGAAAAGGAAACAUUGAGUCUUGUUCUGAAUAAGCUUCGGCUUUAUUGUAGUAAUGGUGUGUGACAUUUCAUGGUUAUCUGAAAACUGAUAUCAUGAAAUAAGAUUACCAGUCUAUAUGCAUUGGAGACUAGAUAUGUUAAAUAGUAGUAAGGUAUGAUAGAUUUUAAUAAAUCUUGAAAGUUUGAAAUAUAGAAGAAUAGUCUAGUGUAAAAAUGUCUAAUGAUAAAUAUACUUUUUUACUCUAGGCACAAAUUAUUUUGGGAGAAGCCAUUUGAUUAGAUUGACCCCAGUAUGCAACUGCUACUUAAUUUAUCGACCCUGAAAGAAUGAAAGGCAAUGUCAACCUUGGCAGAAUUUGAACUCAGAGCAUAAAGACAGACGAAAUACCACUAAGCAUUUCACCCAAUGUGCUUAUGUUUCUGCCAACUUGCUACCUUAGUCUAAUGAUAAAUAUAGUGAAGACAAUAAUGCCAGUUUAGAGGAGAGAACAUAGCAACCCAGUAAAGGGUAAGGGUAAAGACUCCUUUUGUCAUGAAUGACCAUGGGGUUCUACCUAGAAAGUUCCCCUCCAAGGCACAAGUCAGAGUAAGAUUGGUUAUGGAAGACUAGCUGUCACCCAUGCAUACCAACCUCCCUUCUCCAUGCCACUGAUGUUGUCCAAGGGAAAGGCAAUGAUCGAUACAGCUUGGCACAUCACAACUCAUUUCUACAAAUGAGUGAACUGGAACAACAUGAAAUAAUGUGUGUUGCUCAAGAACACAGCUCAGUUCAGGAAUCAAACCUACUACCAUCUGAUUGUGAGCCCAACACUCUAGUCAUUGAGCUAUAUGCCUUCACCUAACCACUGAGCCAUACACCUUCAUGCGUAGCUCAACAACCCAGUACCACAUGGAAAAAUGUUGGUAUAAAUUAAAUCCAACUCAGUGUUUGCAAAGAGGUGCAGAUGUAGAAUCCCUGACAAAUUGGCUAUGAAUCAAAACUACUAGAAUAGUUAGAAACAGGAGCAUUGACCUGAAGACUCAGUUGCUCUGUUGACAAAUUGGAAACAUGUUUGGCACCAUCUUUUAUUGUUUCAAUAGUUGGACUGUGGCCAUGCUGCAAUACCACCUUGAAGGGUUUGGGUCAAAUAAAUCCACCACUGUACUUCUGUUUUAUAGUUGCCCCUUUUUUUUUUGUUUGCUUUCUAAGUCUGGUACUUAUUCUGUUAGUUUUGUUUAUGGGGACAUAAAGCAACGCCAGUUGUCCAGCAGUGUGGAAGUGAGUGGAGUGACAGACACAAUGAUACACACGUGUGUAUGAUAUAUAUAUAUAUAUAUAUAUAAUAGGUGCAGGAGUGGCUGUGUGGUAAGUAACUUGCUUACCAACCACAUGGUUCCGGGUUCAGUCCCACUGCAUGGCACCUUGGACAAGUGUCUUCUACUAUAGCCUUGGGCCAACCAAAGCCUUGUGUGUGGAUUUGGUAGAUGGAAGCUGAAAGAAGCCUGUCGUAUAUAUGUAUAUAUAAAUAUGUGUGUGUGUCUGUGUUUGUCCCCCCAACAUCGCUUGACAACUGAUGCAGGUGUGUUUGCAUCCCUGUAACUUAGCGGUUCGGCAAAAGAGACUAAUAGAAUAAGUACUAGGCUUACAAAGAAUAAGUCCUGGGGUCGAUUUGCUCGACUAAAGGCAAUGCUCCAGCAUGGCCGCAUUCAGAUGACUGAAACAAGUAAAAGAGUAAAGAAUAUAUAUUCAGAUGUGUGUGUGUGUGCUUCCAUCUACUAAUUUCACUCACAAGGCAUUUGUUGGCCUGGAGCCAGAGUAGAAGACUCUUACCCAAAGUGCCAUACAAUGAGACUAAACCUGAAAUCAUGUUGUGUCAAAACAUGCUUUUUAACCACACAGUCAUGCCUACAUCUGUGUUAAUGUAAUUAGCACAAGAGUGAAAGAAAAACAGUAAUGAGAAAAAUUUAGUAAUUUAUUAUAUUUGCUAACGACAAAACUUUUCUGAACCUUUACAAAACAGUAACUAAAUGAAGCUUAUGUAAAAAGUAUCACCUUAUAUGACAGUAAACUGUGAUCUUGGAUGAUAUAGAGUAGCUGGAGAACUGAGCAUUAUGGCUGCACAUAUCUAUCUAAUCUAUCUGUAAUAUACAUACUUGCAUAGAUACAUGUCUGUGUAUGUGUUUGUGUGCAUGUGUGUGUGUGUAUAUAUAUAUAUAUAUAUAUAUAUAUAUAUAUAUAUAUAUAAUUAAUAUUCAGUUGAAUUAGGUACUUAAAUUGAGGCACCAAGCCAGAUCAGUAUAGUCCACACAGCUCCAAGUUCUGUUCACCUAUCUCUCUCUCUCUCUAUAUAUAUAUAUAUAUAUAUAUAUAUAUAUAUAUAUAUAUAUAUAUAUAUAUAUAUAUAUAUAUACACACACUCGCGGAGUGGUUGGUGUUAGGAAGGGCAUCCAGCCGUAGAAACACUGCCAGAUCUGACUGGGCCUGACGAAGCCUUCCAGCUUCACAGACCCCAGUUGACCCGUCCAACCCAUGCUAGCAUGGAAAACGGACGCUAAACGAUGAUGAUGAUGAUGAUGAUGAUAUAUAUAUAGUUCAAAUUUACUGAAAACAAAAGACAGGUGAAGGAACAAAAAGCAGGUGCAUUAGUUUAAUGCUCAGGAAGAAUGGAAAAGUCUUUGACAUUUUGAGCCUAAGCUCUUUGACAGAAAGCAUUGAAGGAUAAAAAAAAAAACAGAGAAUGAAAAGAAAAUGGAGAGAGAAGACAAUGUGUAGAGAUUAACAGUUGAACAUGAUGAAAUAUAUUCUUUUACUUGUUUCAGUCAUUUGACUGUGGCCAUGCUGGAGCAUUGCCUUUAGUCAAACAAACCGAUCCAAGGACUUAUUCUUUGUAAACCUAGUACUUAUUCUAUUUUUCUCUUUUGCUGAACUGCUAAGUUACAGGGAUGUAAACACACCAACAUCGGUUGUCAAGUGUUAGUGGGGGGGAACAAACUCGAUGCACAAACAUACACACACACACACACACACAGCUUAGCUACCAAUAAAAUGGCAAAAUUGUGUUGAUAAUUUAGGUGCAUACUUUGUUUAACUGCAUUGCCUUUUGUUGAGAUAAAGUAAAAUAAACUUUCAUUUCAAAAUCAGACAUUUCAUUCUUAAUAACCUGAUAUAUAUAUAUCAGGCUUCCAUACAAUUUCCUUUUACCAAAUUCACUCAAGACAUUGGAGCUGUAGUUAGCAAACUCUUGUUCAAGGUGCCACACAGUAGGAUUGAACUUGGAAACCUGUGACUAGAAAACAAGAUUCUUACCUACGCAGCUAUGCCUCCACCUUCAAGACAUCUUUCCUCAUGGCUAUCUCUUUACUUUAUUAUUUCUUCUUUAAAACACCUUGGCAUUUUCAAGCUUAUCAAAAUGUAAUUUAUAUUUAACUUCAAAUAAUCAUAAAUUCAUUUUUAAUCCUUUACUGCCACCCCACCCCUUAUCUCAUGACUAAUUUAUCAUCAUCAAAGUGUUUGGAAUUCUGCUUUGAACCAGAAGGGUUUGUCAUGAUUGUAUGCUUAAAUUUACAGAGAUUGCUGCAAGCAAGUAGUUCAGUUAAGCUAGCCUAGAAGUUAAGGUGUUGGCCUCACAAUCACUAGAUCAUAGUCUUCAUCGUCGGACUGGGUGGUAUAUUGUGUUCUGAGGCAAAACACUUCAUUUCACAUUGCUCCUGUCCACUCAACUGUAAAUGAAUAACCCUGCAGUGGAUUGGCAUCCCAUCCAGGGGAAUGUUGUGAUCCCAGUUGUGUAUACAAAUGUUUGAAAGCCGUCAUCAUAUUAUUGCUUAACCCUUUUGAUACCAACUUGCCUGAAACUGCCUCUGGGUCUGUAGUACAAAUGUCUUGUUUUCAAAAGUUCUGAAUUAAAAUCUUCCACCAAACCUUAGUCACAAUUUAUGUUCCUAACACUAGCUUAAUGGUAACUAAGUUAUUUUAAUAAAUUCUUCAUUAUAUUUAAAAUUGAUUGAAAGAAACACAGAGUAUCUCAACAGAAAUAAGGUAACAACUGGGUUAAACAUGAACUUAUUCAUCUCUGUUGAGCUCUUUGCUUAAUGCCUUGCACAGAAAAAUAUUUUCAUUCAUUAUUUAAUAUACAUCUUUCUGGAGUUAGUGUGAGUAAAAAUAUUUGAAAUCAUUUAGAAGCUCCAGUAUUAUGAUCUAACAUGAUGUGAUAAAGAUAUUAUUAUUAAAUGUUAUUAUCUAUUUAUUUCAAAAUACCUACAUUUGAUAAUAUUUGAAGCUAAUUUGAGAUUGGUUUCUAGAUAAUUCCACCAAUGUAAAAAUUUUUGUGAAAGGCUGUUUUAACAAUACUCUGCUAAAUUUUACAGUUUUCUCUCUUUUCAGAGGUCGGAUCUUUGUUUAGUGUUAGAUUGAACAUCUGCUCAGUCUACAGAGAGAAAAGAAAAUAUUAGAAUAGAGCAGAUAUCAUCCCAAAUUCAAUUAUAAACUGAAAUUUAAUAGAUUUAUUUUUAUCCUUUUCAAAAUAGGUAUUGACUUAAGCAUUUUCAGCCAAAAUCUAAAGGGACAUAUUAUCUGUUGAUUUUUGUGAGAUAUUUAAAGAGACGUUCUAUGCCAUGACUAGCUUUAUGCAUUUUGGAUAUUUGUGUGCAUAUUAAUGUGAAGACAUCUGUGUGGACAUGCAUGUGUGUGUGUAUAUGUAUAUAUAUGUGUGUGUGUAUGUAGGCAUGUAUGUAUGCAUGCACAUUGGAAUAAGUUAUUAUAUAUAUGCUAAAAUUAUCUACAGCCAUUAUUCUGUUGAGAUCUUUAUAGCUCAGAACAUUGAUUAAUAUUAUCAAAACUUAGGAACAUCUUUUUUUAUAUAUACAGAGAUACUACAUAUACUCACAUUAAUGUUUGUGUCUAACAAGUCAUAUAAGAGAAGAGAAGAGUGCUGAAGACAGUCUUCAUAGAGGGCUGCAUAUUCUUUAAAUUCCUUAUUGAAUUCAACAGCUUUGAUGAGCUGUUCAUAAUUUAAAUAUUAAGAUUAUCUGCCAUGUGUUCUUGACAAUAAUGACAUUAAUAGCAACCUUCCUAUUUAGCUGCAGUUCAAAAUACGAGUGAAAAUGUCCCUAAACUAAACUCCUAUUUUGAUGGAAACUUUAAACAUUAAGCUAUCCAAGUUCUUUUUUCUUAUAGAACUUGUCUUUUGUGAUUUAAAGGAUUAACAUACUUACACAUACACAGAUGAAUAUAGAAGUUUGUAUUUAGAUAUAUUCUAUAUUAUACAUACUUAUAUUGAAUUAGCUACAAUACCCAGCUUUGGCUGGGUUUAUAGAAAAUAUCAGGAAAACCCAUGUAGCUUACAACAUUCUCAAAAAUAUGUACAUCAUCAUCAUCAUCAUCAUUUUACAUUUUAUUUUUCCAUGCUUGCAAAGGUCAGAUGAGAAUAUGUUGGGACAUGGUUUCCUACAGUUAAGUGACCUUCCUAAUGCCAACCACCACCUGUUUCUGAGAUAAUAAUCUUCCAGUAUAUCAAACAACAAACAGCCUGAACAAAUUACAUUGCCUGAAGCCUUGAAAACAAAGGAAAUACAAGCUUACACAAAUACAUCCACUCAAAAUUAUAUCAUAACUAUCAUUGUUUUAACAUCCACUUUUCUAUGCUUAGAUGGGUUGGACGGAAUUAAUUGAGGCAGAUUUUCUAUGGGUAAAUGCCUUUCCUGUCUCCACCCUCACUCGUUCCCAAGCAAAGUAAUAUUUCUGCAUGGCCAGUCAUAACUUCAUGGAAUAUUAGAAAUGAAUGACAUUGGUUGUAUGAUAGUGAUACUCAUUUACAGCUAUCACACAGUGUCAAAGCAAGAAGACACAAAUUUAAUCAGCUGUGUGUGUGAGUGUGUGUGUAUGCACAUACACCACAGGCUUCUUUCAGUUCCUGUCAACCAAAUUUACUCACAAGGCUUUGAUCAACCCGAAGCUAUAGUAGAAGGUACUUGUCUAAGUUGUUAUACAGUGGGACUGAACCCAAAACCACAUGAUUGUGAAGCAGACAUCUUAAUCACACGCACACACACACACAUCUUAAUCUUUGCAAAAUUUCAGCUACCUAAGUGCAAAAGCAUACUGAAUAUGCAUAGGAUUGAAUUUAUUGUUAUUCUACCAAUUAUAUACGUUUUUAUUAUUUAUUGGCAAUUUACUUAAUCAUCGGUAUAUUAUUGUUAUUUUAAUUUUAAUAUUUCUAUUAUAUGUAAUUUUCUAGAUGGUGUAAUUUAAUUGUUCAUUUUGAAUUGAUAAAAGGUGUUUUUUUCUAAUUUAUAUAUAUAUAUUAUAUUGUAUGAAAUUUGAUUUAGUAUUUCUAAAUUUAAUUUUUCCCUGUAAGUUAGGAUUAAUAUUCCCUCAAAUAAUUAUUAUUAUUUAUAUAUAUACAUACACACACACAUACAUACACACACACAUACAUACAUACACAUACACACACACAGGAGUGGAUGCUGAAAAGUUCCUGGCAUUGGGUAAAAGAAAAUACAGGAGGGUCAGUUAAUUAACUUAUUCAACAUAUUCCCCUCUCAGAUUGACACAUUUAUUGCAGUAGUUCUUCAGUUUUUCUAAACCCUGCAUAAGAACUCAGAAGGCUGAGCCUCCAACCAGGCCUUUCACAAUACCCCUUAAAGUCAGGAACUUUUCAGCACCCACCAUUUCGUAUAUAUAUGGUUAAAUUUAUGCUUUUGAGUUCUAUCUAAAAACUGUAAUGGAUGUUAAAAAAAAAAUAUUGCUAGAGAAAUGAAAGAAUUUAUAUUGGUAAAAUAAAUCUCUUUUCAAAUAAAGAGAACAUUAAGACUCAUUUAUUAUGUGUUAUUUGAGUUGAAUAGCUGCUAGUGGCAUUGAAACGACCACAUCUCCACCAGUAGAUGUUAGUCAAACAGUAGGCUAAUGGAUAUUCUUAGCACCAAUACCAAUAUUUUGGGAUGUAUGAAAUAAAGAACUGCUGCUCUCAGACUUUAUUGAUUGCAAUAUCGUAGCUUUUGUUUACUGGUCAUCCUGAAGUUCCAGCUGCUUACUUUGAUAUUUUAGAACAUUUCUACUGAAUCUAUCAAUCAUGUUACAUCUGUGAGAAAAUAACAAAAAUAACUGGUAGAUUAAAACGCUAUUCUUUUAUAUAUGUAACAAACAACAUACCUAAUAUGUUUUUAACAAAUUCCUAAUGAAGUUAAUUUUUAAUUAAAUGUCAAGAUAUUUUUUUAAAGCACUAUUGAAUUAUCAUUAAAAAAUUAUCUUUUGUUAGGAAAAAAAAAAGAAAGCAGAUUGAAAUUAAAAACUGACUGAAAUUUCUUUGGAAAAUUGUUAUUUUGAAGUUCUUACUCUGCAAGUAUAUAAUCAAAGGCCUCUAUUUCAAUCCAUGUUGAAAUAAUUUCGUUGUUAACAUAUGACAAUGUAUAAGACACAACAAUAUUAUUGUCUUAUGAAGAACCUACUAAAUCAAAUAUAUUAUAAGAUUGGGAUUUUUAAUAAUCUUUUAUUACAGUAAUCCCUUGCCAUCUUGUGGUUCACCUAUCACAGUUUAUUAUUUAAGCUUACAUCGAUUCCUCUGUGGUGUUGUUUUGCAUUUAUAAUAAAAUAAAUUUAUACAAAUUAUAAAAAUAAUGAAAAGAAAUAUACAGUACAGUACUGUUUCUACUUUGCAGAUUUUCACCUGUCAUGAUGGGUGGGUGGGUGGUUGGAACAUAACACCUGCAAUAGUUGAGGGAUUACUGUAUAGCUGAAAUAUUUUUAUUACUUUAACAGAUAUUGGUUUCAAAUUUUGGCACAAGGCCAGCAAUUUGGGGGAAAGAGAAAAAGCUGAUUAUAUCAACCCCAGUAUUCAACUAGUACUUAAGGGAUUAAAAACUAGUUAACCUAGGCAGAAUUUGAAUUCAAAAUGUAAAAAUGGGCAAAAUACUGCUAAGCAUUUUGCCCAGCAUGCUAACAAUUCUGCUAGCUCACCACCUUGUCUAGUCUAACAGAUAUUAAGAAUGUUUUGUGCUCUUAAGAGAGCUAUCUAUUAACUGCAAUUUAAAAUAAGAAUAAAAACUUACACAUACUAAACUUUUACUUGGAUGGACACUUUAAACAUUAAUCAGCUUUUUUCUUGAUAUCUGUUACUGUAAUUUUAUAUCAACAAUGUUAGAGCAGUGCUGAGAUAAACUCUUACAUCUAAUGUUUAAUACCUGUGACAACUUAGAGCCUGCUUCUCCAUCAUCCUUCUUGUUUUUAUGGCUUAGUUAGAGGAGGAACAGCAGUAUUUGUGACCCUUUCAGGGUGUUGAGGACUACUGAAAGAAAGAGAAGUAAUUAUAUUAUCAAGCCAGAAAUCCUGCCUCGAAACUUGCAGCAAAGAGAUCUCCAUUCACCCAUAAACAUUUAAACCAACCAUAUAUGGCCAAAAUAGUCUACCUGUCUUAUGUUCAAACUGGCCUGAUCUGACCCCGCCUCACACUUAUCCUACAAUAUCAUUCUAAAAAUUAACAGUUAACUCAUAAAAAUCUGAAAGCUAUAAGACAAUGCAUGAUUAAUUUAAAGCCAUGUGAAUAAAUAAGCAUUAAAUUUAACAGAGUAAUCAAUACUGAAGGGUUAAAUUCGCCAAUGGGUUAAGUGGUGAUUUUAAACCAGGCAAUAGAUUAAACAGAAUUAUUCAUUCUGACAGACUCCUCACAGUAUCUGUCUAUCACAUUUCAUUCACAAUGCUGUGAUCAGUCUGUAGCUAUAAGUAAAACAUCACAGUGUUGCAUACUAGGAUAAAACUAGGAUAAAGCCCAAACUGAUAAAACUACACAGCCAUACCUGCACUCAUUUUUAUGGCAAUUUAAAAUAACUGUAAUGAUGUUUCUGAUUUUAAUCUCAGAUUAAAUGUUAAAUAUUUAUAUAGUUAAACAUCUGACAUUUGUGCAAACCUCAAAAUAUUAGUUUUAAUAAUUUUUGUUAUUUUAUAGAGAACUCUUUUUUUAAGCAUAUGAUUAUAUCAAACAUGGUUGUGAGUACAUGUUACUGAAUAUUGGUUUCAAAUUUUGGCACAAGGCCAGCAAUUUGGGGGGAAGAGAAAAAGCUGAUUAUAUCAACCCCAGUAUUCAACUAGUACUUAAGGGAUUAAAAACUAGUAAAAAAAAGUCAACCUAGGCAGAAUUUGAACUCAAAAUGUAAAAAUGGGCAAAAUACUGCUAAGCAUUUUGCCCAGCAUGCUAACAAUUCUGCUAACUCACCACCUUGUCUAGUCUAACAGAUAUUAAUACGGCAGAAAUGCAUCUAGCUUUCUCACCAGCCAUUGCUAAGAUAAUUUUCAUCUGUCUCUGAUAUAUUUUGUGUUUUUAAACACAGCACAUCAAAAUGAAAUAUUAUUCAGGACAAAUGCCUCAGUAAAUUUGCAUAUUAUGAUGUAUUAUGAUUUAAGGUGGUAAGAUGGCAGAACCAUUACCAUACCAGCAAAAGGUUUAGUGGCAUUUCAUCCAAUAUUAUGUUUCGAGUUCUAAUUCCACUGAGGUCAUCUUUACCUUUCAUCCUUUUGGGGUCAACAAUAUAAGUACCUGUAGAGCUUUGGGGUUCAUGUAAUUGACUUACAUUCUCCCCUGAAAUUGUUGCCUAUGUGCCAAAAUUUGAAGCCUAUAUUUAUUAAUGAUUUAUUUAUCACUAUUUAUUUAUGAUUUAAGGCAGCAAAUUGGCAGAAAUGUUAGCACACCAGGCAAAAUGCUUAGCAGUAUUCCAUCUGUCUUUACAUUCUGAGUUCAAAUUCUGCUGAGGUUGACUUUGCCUUUCAUUCUUUCGGGGUGGAUAAAUUAAGUUCCAGUUGCAUACUGACGUCAAUCCAAUUGACUGAACCCCUCCCCCAAAAUUUUAGGCCUUGUGCCUAGAGUAGAAAAGAAUAUUUAUUUAUGAUUUAAUUAGCAAAAGCAAGCUUGAAUGUGACAAAAAUAAUCAGAGAUAUAUUUCAGUGUCAUCUUUACACACCAGUAAUCUAAGUUUCUAAUUGGAAUUUAUAUUGGGAUUUACCAAUGCUGAGCAGGAAUGGUGUGAUCACAUAGUUGAUCCUUGCAUCAAUGCUUUCAUUGGUGGAACUUAAAAGCAAAGCCUAUUGUUUUGUUUUUUUUCAACUUUUCCUGAAGAUAUUUUUGUCAUGAGUGAUAAGACCACAGAGUGUAUGCAUUAACAGGGCAGUACCACCUUCACAACAUCAAUGGAGGAGAUUAAGGCAUAUUUCAGAAUACAUUUUGGGGGAAGUGGGGGUGUUUAUGAUAGUUGUGUAGCUUCUAAGUUACGGUGACUACUGCAACACAAAUUCUGAGACAGGAAAUCAAUGUUCAGGAAUCAGAAUCCUGUAAAUAAUAUAUGAAAGCACCUACAUGUAAUCAAUCUUCUUGUUGUCAACCUACUUUGAUAAGUAACAGUGGCAUGACAGUAAAUAUAUGUGAAAACACUAUACUUAAUCAACUUACCUGUAUUCAACUUACCUUGGCGGGUGACUGUGACAUGUCAACAGGUAGGACUCAACAGCAAUAACAAGUAAAAGUCACAUUUCACAAUAAUCAGCAAUAAUAAUUACAUCCCAUCACUUAUUUGCAUCCAAACUCAUGCAAUAGUUGUAUUUUUAUGAUCUUUACACUGGACUAACUGCGUUUCAUCAAAACCUCAAAAUUUCUUACAGGAUUGAGAGAUUUAUAUAGAGAAAGCACUACAGCAAUUUAAGAGUUAAUAAUAUCAUAAUAACCAUAGUUUAAGACUCUAAACAGAUAUAGACUUAGUCUUAUCCAAGCCAACAUUGCUACAAUUACUUCCCCAAUGAAAGAUAAAUAAUUAUUUUACAAUUAUCAUUUAUCUUUCACUUGUUUCAGUUAUUGGACUGCAGCCAUUUUGGGGCACCUCCUUGAAGGAUUUUCAUCAAACAGAUUGACCUCAGUACUAAUUUUUUUGUUUUGUAUAAGUCUGGUGCUUGUUUUGUCAGUCUCUUUUGCAGGACAGCUGAGUUACAGGGAUGUAAACAAACCAACACCAGUUAUGAAGCAAUAGGGAGGCAGAGGAGAAACAUUGGCACAAAGACACAAACACAUACACAUACACACACUAUCCUAGAGCACGUGUGCUUGAAAAGAUUAAUUGAAUGCACUCACACACACUAGGAAAAAAACUUCUUCCAAAAAGGUUGGUGACAUUCUGUAAAAGACAUUCUGGGUAGGUAGGUAGGUAGAAACACACACACACACACACAUAUUUGUAUAACUUUAAGAGGGAAUUACUGUGCAAUAUGUUUUAGUUUUUGUGGGGUAGAACAGAGCAAACUAAAGGGCUGUACCUUCUGUUAAACAUGUAACUUUUACAUAAAGAAAAUCUUUUUUCCUUUCUAUACUUCAACAGGUGAAGCAGCUUAUAAACAUUAUUUGUAAUUAUGUAAGAAAUUCCUUUUAUGGACAUCCAGUGAAAGCUUAUGACUGAGUGAUUUGGGUUUAUCGUCUCAUGAUCGUAAGGUCUUGUGUUCGAUUUCUAGACAGAACAAUACAUUGUGUCCUUGAGUAAGGUACUUCAUUUCUCAUUGCUCCAGUCUACUGUACUGAAAAUUAGUACCACCCAAGUAUUGCUACAACCCUCUCUCCCUUCAGUUGUCACAUGACUAGUAUUCCACUUGAUCAAGGAUGAGAGAACCAAGACUGUCUAACGUUUGCUUGUGACUACAUAGAUACAGGAAACAGUUAUCAAAAAAAGGUACAUAUUGCCAAGUUGUAUUUGCUUAUGAGUAAUGGUUGUUUUCUAAUAUAUGGACACUUGUUGUGUGUGUGUGUGUGUGUUCUUUCACUAGUUAUGCUCACACAUUAAACAGAAAAAGUGAAUUUUUCAGUUUUGUAAAAUCAGCUUCUUAAAUUGAUAAACUUAUUUGGAAAAACUUUGAAGUUACAGUCAUAUUUACUGUUUUAAAUUGUACAUUUUACAGUCUUUUCUCCAGUUGAUAUUUCUCGUGUUUCUGGUCUUAAGAAUACAUGCACACACACACACACACGUGUGUGUGUGUGUGUGUUGGUAUAUAUGUUUGUGUGUAUGUGUGCUAUAUGUGCACACACAUUUAUACAUGCACAUAUAAAUGAUAUAGAUGUACAUUUUAUUUCUCAGGUUACAACUUGAAAAUAUUUCAUCUGUAGAUUAACACAGCUACAUCCAAAUUCUAUACAGUAUGGUUUGUAGACCCCUUUACCUUACAGCUAAAGAUAUCUGUAUCAUAUGUGUAUGUGGGUGUUUAUCUUGGCUGUAAAUUAAUUUUAAGUUUCAUUUAUAAUGGUAUAAAAUUAGUGCCACGAGAAGUAUUUUAGUGAGAAAGCUAAGAGCCAAGUAAACAACUAAGAAGACAGUAUUUUGUGCUCUUUCCUUUGCAUUGCAUUAUGCUUGUAACCAGGACACAUAGCUAUAAAAUGGUAACAUAGGUUAUUAAUAGCUCAUUUCUUCAAGCAGUGACAAACUUACUGAUUUUACUAAUAAUUUAUUAGGUGACACUUGGCAGGUUUGACUCCUGUGGUAAUGUGUGUUACUCCUAUAAAAUGGUUACUAAUGUGGCAUUUUUUUUCUCUGUAUUGUUGGUGCAGGCAUGGUUGUGUGAUAAAGUCUACUUCUCAAUUGUGUGGUUUUGAGUGCAGCACUUUUGACAGAUAUUUCUAAUAUAGCCCUAACCAACUAAUGCCUUUUGAGUGAAUUUGGUUGACAGAAACUGUACAGAAGUUUCUUGUGUGUGUGUGUAAUGAAGGCAUUAGUGGUUAGGGGCAUUCAGCUCAUGAUCAUAAGGUUGUGAGUUCAAUUCCCGGUGGCGCAUUGUGUCCUUCAGCAAGACACUUUAUUUCACGUUGCUCCAGUCCACUCAGCUGGCAAAAUUGAGUAGUACCUGUAUUUCAAUGGGCAAACCUUGUCACACUCUGUGUCACGCUGAAUCUCCUCGAGAACUACGUUAAGGGUACACAUGUUUGUGGCGUGCUCAGCCAAUUGCACAUUAAAUUCACGAGCAAGCUGUUCCGUUGAUCAUAUCAGCUGGAACCCUCAUUGUUGGAACCAACAAAGUGAAGAAAGAGAGAGAGAGAGUGUGUGUGUGUGUAAGGGAACAAACUGGCAGAAUUGUCAGCAUGUCAGACAAAAUGCUUAGCAGCAUUUCUUCUGGUUCUCUAUAUUCUGAGUUCAAAUCAUUCCAAGGUCAACUUCACCUUUCAUCUCUUUGGGGUUAGUAAAAUAAAGUACAAGUCAAGUACUAAGAUCAAUGUCAUCAAAUUGCCUUCUCCCCCUCGGAGUUGCUGACCUCAACCCCUGCAAUGGGGCUCAAGAGAGGUAUUUUGUGAUCUAUGUCAUUUAUAUACACCAUGGCAACUGAAUAACUUGCCUUAUGAGUUCUAAGACUCGAGGAAAAAAGAUUUUUAAUGUAUGUGUGAAUGUCAGCAUUCUGUGCUUUGUAUGUAAAAGAAAGCACUUGGCUACAAAUUUUGUUAUUUGUUGCUAGUUCCUUGUCCACAAAUCAUCAGCUCUGUGCUUUCAAGAUGAGUAAAAUGAAAAAUUCCUUAUCUAAAAAACAAGAUAAAUGACAAGAAGGGCAUCCAGCUGGAAAAAAUUGUCUCAGUAUAUAUUUGUCUAACCCACGGAAAAACAAAUACAAAAUGAAUAAAUAAACAAAUUCAUUUUAUGGUGUUUGGUUUUAUUGCUGUGAUGUCCUCUGAAUUUUUUAAAUGCUUCAAAUAAUAAGUGUAAGAUUUCCACAUUCAGUAAAAUAUUUGCUAAUUUAAAUAAUAUUUCUAUUAAAUAGAUUAAUAUUUGAACUGAAAAUUGAUUGCAGGAAUCAGAGAUAAUUUUUUUUUUAAAUUGGCAGCAUUCAUUUCAUUUUAUACUUUUUUUAUUCCAGCCAAGAUAAAUAUCAUUUUCCACUGAUAUAAUGGAGAGAGAAAAACUAAUUUGUUAUUUUCUAUGGGAAGAACAUAUGGAGGUGGAUCAUGAAAGAAAGUUUACUAAAUACUAGGAGCUGGUAGAGAACUGCAGAAAAUAAGGGCUGGCAGGCUUUUUGUGAGGCAAUUGAUGUAGGUUGAAUUUAUAAGUAUUUAUUCUGCAAAGCUUUGAUUCAGCUUGGAGUUAUUAGUGCAGCAAAGAGGAAUGCCAUAAAUUCCAUCAGUGAAGUUACCAAAAAAUCCACUAGGUAGCUCUGAUAAAGCGGAUAGAGCAGUAGCUUACAGCUACUGGGAUGCAAGCUGGGACUUGAUCAAUCACAGCUGAGUCAACCAGGUUAGGGGAUCUGAUGAUGAAAGAUCCAAAACCCACUAAGAUCUUAGAAACAUCACUGAUGAGGUAUCCUUGAGCAUUCAGGAGAUGUAUCUUGGAGCAAAAAGGUUUAAUUCUAUGAUUAUGAUUAAUAUGAUGUUACAUUUAUAACAUCAUAUUUGUUGUUGUCAUUUAGCCCUAAGUAAGCUUUGUUUGAACAGACUUAUGAUGAAAGCAUUCUAUACUUAACCCAUCUUUUUUUCUUUCUUUUUUUGUUUGGAUGGUAGGGUAUGAUUUGAAAGAGAUUUGGCUGUUAUAGCUUGCAAUUUGAGAGACUAUGUAGAGAUUCUCUGACAUAGCAUGUUUUAAAACAAUUUAAGGAACUUUGGCAUACUUCAACUUGUGGCAACCAGUUCUGAUGUUGUUCUUUGCUGCAAUAUCAUAUAAAGAAGAAAAAUUCAUAUGAUGUAAAGCACUUUUUAAAAAACAUUUAAAGUGGUUCUUUGUUUUUACAUUUUUUUAGAAAUUAGAAUUUGUUCUCUCCAACCAGAAUUUCAAAUUUCAUGCUGUUUUCUGCAACACCUAAAAUUAUAAUAUUUUAUCCCCCCAACAAAUUUUGAACUCUGUGGCUGUGUAGUAAAGAACUUUAUUUCCCAACAGUGUGGUUUUGGGUUCAGUCCCCUAAUAUGACAUAUUGGACAGGUGUCUUCUAUGAUAGCCCAGGGUUAACCAAAGCUUUGUUAGUGGAUCUGAUAGCCAAAAAGUGAAAGAAACCUUUAGGCACAGGAGCAGCUGUGUGAUAAGUAGCUUGCUCACCAACCACAUGGUUCUGGGUUCAGUCUCACUGCAUGGCACCUUGGGCAAGUGUCUUCUGCUAUAGCCUUGGGCCGACCAAAGCCUUGUGAGUGGAUUUGGUAGACAGAAACUGAAAGAAGCCUGUUGUAUAUAUGUGUGUGUGUGUGCAUAUAUGUUUGUGUGUCUGUGUUUGUUCCCCCCAACAUCACUUGACAACCAAUGCUGGUGUGUUUAUGUCCCUGUAACUUAGCGGUUCGGCAAAAGUGACUAAUAGAAUAAGUACUAGGCUUACAAAGAAUAAGUCCUGGGGUCAGUUUGCUCGACUAAAGGUGGUGCUCCAGCAUAGCUACUGUCAAAUGACUGAAACAAGUAAAAGAAUAAAAGAAUAUAUGUAAAUUUGUUUGUGCUUAGGUGUCUAUUUGUGUCUUGUUGCUUUGACAUUGUGAGAUAGCUGUAAAAGAGUUUCACCAUCAUACAAGUGGUGUCAUUCAUUUCCAGUGCUCUGUGAAGGCAUGUCUGGUUACAAGGAAAUAUUUGGUAAACAAAUUCCACCCACCUCAUGCAAACAGAGUGCUAGAAAGAAGGAAAUGCUGAAUGAGAACUUUAUCAUUCAAGCUGCGAUAAAAGAACUUUGUCAGAUCAAUGAAUCAAUCAAUUAAUUGACAAAUCUAAUUAAUAAUAAAACUGAUGAUGUUUCUUGGAGCAAAAGAGUUUUAAUUCCCUGAUUAUGAUUAAUAUAACGUUACGCUUGUUGUCAUUUAGCCCCAAGUUAGCCUUGGUUGAGUAGGCCAAUGAUGAAAGCAUUUUAUUCUUAACGCAUCUUUCUUGUGUGGGACAUAACCACUUCAUAUGUUUUAUUGGCAGUAUGAGUCUCCUAACAUACAUCAAUAUGUGUGUCAACACACAAUUGCACUUCAAGAACUUUUCAAAUCAAAUACAAAAAUAUAACAGCAUUAUAGUAAUAACUUUUUCCCUUUUUUUUUUUUGCUUUGAGAUUCAAUUGAAACAUUUGUUCCUUUAUUUAUUUACAGAUUCAUAAAAUACAAGGGUAAUUAUUUCAAAAUAAUUACUCCUUUUUCAUAACCUGAGAUUUAAAAAAAUUCAAAAGUUACCUCUUAACAAGCAGAUAUUUUCAGCAAUACAACAGAUGCCUGAAUUACUUAGCAUCUGAUUUGUAUUCUUCAAAAAUCUGAAUAAAUAAAAGCAUUCAGCUAUCAUGGUAUCAAUGUUUAUUAUCGUCUAUUUAUUUGAUCUGAACUUGCUAACACUUUUACUUGUUGGAAAUCUAGUAAUAAUCAUCUAUCACAUGUAUUUUAUGUAAAUACUUUGUGUAAAUAUUUUCCUCAACAAUAUUCAUGUGAGCUUUUUAUCAUCUUCACAAAUUUGUGUGCAUUGUUUGUUUUUCUUAAAUAUUUGUAUAGGACUGAUCUUAGACUGCACAUCAGUAGCUAUUUUUCUGCAAGAAAGAAUAAUGUAGUUUGUCUAGAGAUGCAUCAAAAACUCAUAUGUAGUAUUUAAAAUGAUAAAUACAGCCAGCUGUUGUAAAUUGUGCAGUUUCACAUAGAGACUAAGAAAGACGUUAUGCAUUCUGAUGAGUAAAGGAAGGUCCUAAAAUCCUCAGAUGAAAGAGCAGAGAAGUGAAGUUUUUUUCAUGCUCUUAGAACUGAAAGAGUUCAUAUGCCCAGCAUAUGCAGUCUUAUUUACAAGCUGUGGUUGCUUCUCCAGUCAGUGUCAUUGCAUCUUUCUUAUGUCUGUGAAACUUGUAAUGUAGAUGUGAACCAAAUUGUAAAUACAAAUAUUUAACCUUUGAACCUUGUGUUGCAUCCUCUUUCCUUUUGCUUGUACAUCUAUCUGUAGUGGAGGCGCAAUGGCCCAGUGGUUAGGGCAGCGGACUCGUGGUCGUAGGAUCGCAGUUUCGAUUCCCAGACUGGGCGUUGUGAAUGUUUAUUGAGCGAAAACAUCUAAAAGCUCCACGAUGCUCCGGCAGGGAUGGUGGUGAUCCCUGCUGUACUCUUUCACCACAACUUUCUCUCACUCUUUCUUCCUGUUUCUGUUGUACCUGUAUUUCAAAGGGCUGGCCUUGUCACUCUCUGUGUCACGCUGAAUAUCCCCGAGAACUACAUUAAGGGUACACAUGUCUGUGGAGUGCUCAGCCACUUACACGUUAAUUUCACGAGCAGGCUGUUCCGUUGAUCGGAUCAACCGGAACCCUCGUCGUCGUAACUGACGGAGUGCUUCCACCACAUCUAUCUGUGUAUAUUCACACACACACAGACACACAUUUGAAGGUGAUGUUAUGCAAUGCCAUUUUUUAUUUUCAUAUUUUAAAUCAAUAAAAGGUGUAUUCUGUGUGUUAUGAAGUUUACUUCCCAACCACAUGGUUUCAGGUUCAGUCUCACUGCAUGACAUGGGUAACUGUCAUCUACUUCAGCUCUGGGCUGACCAAGAUGUUGUGAGUGGAUUUGGUAGACAAAAACUGAAGGAAGUUAAUCAUGAGUAUGUAUGUAUGCAUGUCUGUUUCCUUGCCUUCUUAUCGUAUGAUUGUUGAAAAUGAGUGUCAUUCAUUUCAAGUAUUUUGUGGAAACAUGUUUGGCCAUGUAGAAAUAUUACCUUGCUAGGAAACAGGUGAGGGUUGGCAACAGGAAAGACACCCAGCUAUAGAAAAUCAGCUAUAGUAAACUCCAUUUGACCCAUGCAAGCAUGGAAAAGUGAGCAUUAAAAUUAUGAUGGUAGCAGUGGCGUUGUUGUUGAAUUCAGACAAAUCUAUAAAUAUGUAUAUUUUAAAUAACCAUAUAAUACUUUUCCAAAUUUGAAAUACUGUUUUGUCAAUUAAAAAAGAAGUAUCCCUCUACUGAUAAAGAAUGCUUAAUAAUUUUAACAUUGUUGCAAUUUUGUAGGCUUUUGUGAGGCCUCUAUAUCUAUUUUCUGGUUUGAUUUUGGCUUCUAAUCUCAUAGGGAAAGUGUUAACUUUUUUAAUAACACUGAAUAUUGUCAACUCCUGUACAAAUGAGUUUCACUAUCAUACAGUUAGCAUCAGACAUCAUUUCACGUACACUUCGUUUUCAUUAGUUUUACCUGCUAUGAAUAUUAUUUUAAUCAUCAACAACAACAAACAGAAUGUUGUGAAGACAUUAGUACUGUUGAAGUGCCCCUACUUGUAUGGUAGUUAGGUUUCAAGUAUGGAGUCAAGUAUUAACUUGAAUUCUAGACUGAUCAAAGUACUCCUUCCUUGUUCUACGACUUUAAGUAAAUUUUCUUAAGAUAACAGGCAAAAAGAAUGUUUAUUUAAUUAUUCAUUUAAUUAUAUUUUUAUUAAAUACCUUGUGGUAUGCAUUUCAUGUGUCAUUCUACAUACAUAAGGUCUUCAGGCAAUGAGCUGGCAGAAAUGUUAGCACAGUGGGAGAAAUGCUUAGCGAUAUUUCAUCUGUCUUUAUGUUCUGAGUUCAAAUUCCACCGAGGUUGACUUUGCCUUUCAUCCUUUCGAUUAAAUAAGUACCAGUUAUUCACUGGGGUCGAUGUAAUUGACUUAAUCCAUUUUGUCUGUCCUUGUUUGUCUCCUUUGUGUUUAGCCCCUUGUGGGUAGUAAAGAAAUAGGUAUUUCAUCUGUCUUUAUGUUCUGAGUUCAAAUUCCACCAAGGUUGACUUUGCCUUUCAUCCUUUUGGGGUCAAUAAAUUAACUACCAUUAGCAUAUUGGGGUUGAUCUAAUUGACUGGCCCCCUCCCCAAAAAUUUCGGGCUGUAUGCCUAGAGUAGAAAACAUUAUACAUAAGGUCUUAUUUUAGUUGUAAACUUCUAAGAAUUAUGUAUGGUGGAUUUUUAAAACAUAACUAAUAUAAAUAGCCAAAUUAAACAAUCUUCUGAGAGGGCUUUAUUGCAUUAUGCAACUGUGUAAUAAGCUAAAAAAUUACAAAUGCCACUAAGAAAAAAAAAACAAAAACAAAAAUAAACACUUAAUAAAAGUAUUCCAUUUACUUUACUUUGUUUGUUUUUUACAUUUUAUGUGUAAAAUGUAUAUUGUUACUCAUGUCAUUAGUAGAGAAGAAAUUUUGACCUUUA
rnacentral:lncRNA from 1 species